GCGUCGGUGGUGCAACGGUUUAGCACAUGCUCCCGGAAAGAGUAGGAUCUGGGUUCGAACUCAGGCUGACGCA